rnacentral:rRNA from 1 species
UACGUAGGGGGCGAGCGUUUGUCCGGAUUUAUUGGGCGUAAAGAGCUCGUAGGCGGUUUGGCAAGUCGGGUGUGAAAACUCCGGGCUCAACUCGGAGACGCCACUCGAUACUGCCAUGACUUGAGUCCGGUAGGGGAGUGCGGAAUUCCUGGUGUAGCGGUGAAAUGCGCAGAUAUCAGGAGGAACACCGGUGGCGAAGGCGGCACUCUGGGCCGGUACUGACGCUGAGGAGCGAAAGCGUGGGGAGCGAACAGG